AGAGUUUGAUCAUGGCUCAGAAUGAACGCUAGCGGCGUGCUUAACACAUGCAAGUCGUACGAGAACUCUUUAGCUUGCUAAAGAUAGUAAAGUGGCGCACGGGUGAGUAACGCGUGGGUAAUUUACCUCUGAAUUUGGGAUAACUCCGCGAAAGCGGGGCUAAUACCGGAUAAUAUUUCAGGAUCUUCGGGUUUUGAAAUCAAAAGUGGUCUCUACAUGUAAGCUACUGUUUGGAGAUGAGCCCGCGUACCAUUAGCUUGUUGGUAGGGUAAUGGCCUACCAAGGCUACGAUGGUUAGCUGGUCUGAGAGGAUGAUCAGCCACACUGGAACUGACACACGGUCCAGACUCCUACGGGAGGCAGC
rnacentral:rRNA from 1 species